rnacentral:lncRNA from 1 species
CCACCAGGCCUCCUCCUCUCGCUCAUCCCACCGGCCGUCCACCCUGUUCGUUCCCAAAUUCCCAAACCUAGUUGGAGUAGAAGCCAGCCAGUCCAGCUGCAAGGCGGCGCAGCAGCCGACCUCCAUCCUCCUCUUCGAUCCGCCGCAGGCCGACGCUUCUAGCGUGGUGGGAGUGGAGAUCCGUCCAUCCGGUCCGCCGCCUUCCCCCUUGUUGGCUGGUGAGUAAUUCAUCGAUCCCAACUUGUUUUCUUCACUCGAAGGAUUCCAUUGUUUGUUCCAGGAAUCGCUUGGUCUUGAGAGUUCUCAUUCAGAUCCAAAUCGCUCCCUCCCCAUUUCAGUUUGCUGUGGAUUCAAAAAUCAUCCAUUUAGGGUUUCGUUCGAUUAAGUGGUUCGUCUUGUGCUCCUGCUGCGCUCGAGAAUGACAAUCAGCAGAUGCCGGCGGAACUUAUUUCCCUGAAAAAAGAGAGAUGAUUUUUGGUGUUCCUUUAAUUGAGCCCCCAUGCGCGCGGCUAUUGUUGGCUAAAACUGCGUUAUUUUAGCGCACGAGUAGAUUUUUUUUGGACUACAUGACUACAUGUCGGCACUAAAUUUAGAUGACGCCAUAAAAAAAUUGAUACUUUCCCCUCGAUGUCUGUUCAACGUAGCUGUUCGAGUUCCCUUUCCCCCUCGGACAGGAGAUCUGUGUUUUCUAGAUGUCGCAACAGCAUUAUGUUCUAUGGCUCAUUCAUUUGGUUUCGAGAGAAGUAGUAUACAACCUUGAAGCUAGCGGCAUCUGUUCAAUGACCUGACGUUUCUUGGUCCGUUUUUUUUUUCAAAUAGGUACACAGAUUGAACUAUGGACAACCUGUGGCAUCUUGGAGAUGAGCUCCGUGGCCAGCCAAAGGUAGUGGAGGACCGCCAGUGGUCUCUCAUGACCUCCAAGCUCGCUGAGAUCACCAAGUCCAAGGGCGAGAGGAUGAACGACCUUGACUAUGCGCGGAUGAACACCGUCCCUGAGGUCAAGCAGUGGGAUAAGAUGCAGUAUCACCAUGAUGAACCCAGGAUGGAUCACAUCAAUCUUGGCCUCAUGAACCUGGAUCUGAAGAUGAAUGAUCUGAAGAUGAACGAGGCUGCCCUCAAGAACCCUUUCCGCAACAUGGGUUAUAACAUGAACCCAAUGUACCCCAAGGGGAACAAUGCCAAUGUCAAUGCAUUCAAGAUGAAUGUUGGGGUCAACAAGUACUCCAAUAGUCCUAAUGUGAAAGAGGCCAUUGGAAAAAACAAUGGUGCCAACAACAAUGGAAGCAACAGCAAUGGAAACGCUAACAACAAUUCUGCUGUUGACAAGCGCUUCAAGACACUGCCAACGAGUGAGAUGCUACCAAGGAAUGAAGUCCUUGGUGGGUACAUCUUUGUCUGCAACAAUGAUACCAUGCAGGAGGAUCUCAAGAGGCAGCUUUUUGGUAUGCGUUACCACUUCUCCUGAUAAAUAACAUGAAAUAUUGUUCUGAAAAAUAACUUUCAUACCAUUUUUAAACUUUCUUUUGAUAAUAGCAUCUCAAGAUCUGUUGCUCUUCUGCAGGGUUGCCAGCAAGAUAUCGGGAUUCAGUCCGAGCAAUUACUCCUGGACUGCCUCUUUUCCUCUAUAACUACACAACUCACCAGCUUCAUGGAGUAUUUGAGGUUUGUGAUUAGCUGAUUUGCUGCUCCUUGGAUAGCCUCUCUGACCUUGUUAAACAGUUGUUUGUUUGUAAUACAUAAGAUAUUGCUAGCUAAUAAAUUGUGCAUCUUACUUUAAAAAAAAAAAGUAAAUUGCGCAUCUAACUAUCCAAGAAAUGGUCUUGUGCUUUCAUGCACUAUUACCAUUCUAGAUGGAAUAUUUUUAGCUUGCCUUCAUCUUUCUCCUUUUCCUUGUGCCCUUGUAUGUAAUUUCUUCUAACUAAUGAUUUGGUAGCAUUUAAAAAUAAACAUUAAACUAGAAAGUAUGAUCAUGGUUUUCCAGAUACUAUAGUAUAUGCAACCAAGCCUACACCAAUGUUUUAAAUCUCCCACUAUAGCUGCUGCUAUAGCCCGCUAUAGUUAUUUAAGGCAUGGUACCACUAUUUACUCUCAUGUACAAUUUAACCGCUAUAUCCCACUAUAGCCCCAUUUAGUUCCACUAUUAGCUGUUUUAGAGUCCUCCGCUAAACCUCUUAGCCCGCUAUUUAAAACAUUGGCCUAUACACAUUUUAGGUACAUGACAGCACAUCCAAGAAUUGCACUCUUGUAAGGCAGCUUUAGCUAGUAUUUCAUCCGGUGUUAGUUCCUACUUCCUACUGGUUUUGUAUGUGCUAUUUCACCAUCUCUGAUUCGGGUUAUUUUUUCAUGCCUAGUCUUGUAUGGUUUUGCACACUGUUGACGUAUUGUUACCAUUAUUUAGCAUUGCUUUAUAGUUGGAUCUAACUGUGCUUCUGUAUACAUCUAGCUCCAUAGUUUUUGUUAUUGACCCAUUUCUGUUAGCUCACUGAAUCAUCAUUGUUGUCAGUUUCAAUAAAUGAAUGCCUACUUCGAUUCCAUACAUUUUUAUUGUUAUUGAAGUUUUAAUCCCAUCUUAUGCUUCAGAAUAAAUCUAGCGGCUAAUUGUCUUUUGGUUUUGAAAUGAAUUUGCUUAGGCUGCCAGUUUUGGUGGGUCUAAUAUUGAUCCCACUGCAUGGGAGGAUAAGAAGUGUAAAGGUGAAUCCAGAUUCCCAGCACAGGUACUGGCAACAUUUUGCAUAUGUUUGUUUCUCAUUUCCUUCUGAUUUCAUGAUCUGACAUCUUCAUCGUGUUAGGUGAGGAUCCGCAUUAGGAAGCUUUGCAAGCCAUUGGAAGAGGAUUCCUUCAGGCCAGUUUUGCACCACUACGAUGGCCCAAAAUUUCGCCUUGAGCUCUCCAUCGCGGAGGUAUAUACCAUAUCCCAGCUGCUGUGCACAUGAAUUAUACAGUGAAAGCUCCCUUGCACAAUGAAACUUUAUUAGCACAAUAGCCCUUGUGUUCAUAGACUUUAUCAGAAUUCUGCAUUCAUGCUGCCAUGGUGAUCAAAUCGGUUGAUGUUCAGCUUCCGUUUACAUGCUGCCAAGAAAGUUUAUUUUUUGUUUGUGUGUGGAAGUAUGUGACAAAGGACAGUUACUUUUUAUAUCACAUUCUGAGGUCUCAUAGUUUAGUUGCAGUGCUUAUGUGCAGUGCUGAGAUACACAUUAGCCUGCACCAAUUACAAUAUUCCCUUGUUUAAAUCUUAAUUGUUAUUUUCUUGAUGUCUCCUCUGCAAUUCCGUGCAUCCCAUAGGCAUUACUUGUCUGAGGUUGAACAUUAAAUGGUGGACAUUUGCUAAUCAUCCUUCAGAAUUAAGAUAAAACAUGUUAAUCCCCUUCUGCUGGUCAGAUGAUGGCAUUAUACAGGAGCUUGUAGGCAUGGGAACUUGUUUUAGUUUUUUUAUUGGUCUAUUUUAAAUUUGUUAUGCAUGUUGUCUGUUGCGAUAAAAGUUCUUAGAGCAUAAGAAGAUGAGAAGUUUGUUUUUUUCUUAAAAAAGUGUGGUCAUGUCAAUCAUUCUCAUCAAAUAUAAUUUUUGCAGACCUUGUCACUGCUAGACCUGUGCGAGAAGGAAGGCAUCUGAGCUGUUGGGGAGGUGGUUGCCUUGAGCUUCUAGUAAAUAUUAAUCAUCCUUGUAUGUUUUGUGGAUGGUGGUUGGGCAAUGUUGUUUGUUUAAGCGCAAGCUGCUGCUGGUUUCAUUUUCCCUACCUGCAAGGAAGGAAGGAGAAGACCUGGUACUUGGAAGGCCCCUCGAAAAAAGCAAGCUGUGAGGCUGUCUGUGUACUGCGUUGCGUUGUGUCGUCCUGAACCGAAUCAAUCCUGGGUUGGAGAUGUGUAUGUUUUGCUGUCUAUCUAUCUACGUGUGGUAGCAGAGUUGAGUAUACCUGGGCAGAAUGGGACCCCGAAAGAUGGGGCCCUGUAUACUGUGUAAUGGGUUACGAUGCAUGCAUCAUGGCGCCCCAAAGUAAGGGCCGAUGAUGUCGUCGUUCUGAGUUUGUGUUUUGUGGUGUUGUACCUUGAACCUCCUUUGCAUUUGACUUGAUGCUACCUUUUGCACUGUCUGAGAGUGUUGGCUUCUGGUUCACGUUAUGCUGUGAUGUACCAUGGUUGAUUCAGUUUGGGUGUUGUGAAGGCUAAAAACUAAAAGGUGGCUUGUGGAACAUUGUGUCCAGCAGCAGGUUAUGGGUUGCAGGUGCACCUACCAAACUUGGUGUGUGAAACAAAACAAGAGCAACUGAUAAGGUGGUUGAUUGCAUCGGUUCAACUGCUCUCGGUCAGACAGGAAGGAGCAGCAGCUCUUUGUUGGUGCGCUGUCUCCAUGUGUUUUUCAGCACUCACUGAUUCCUGAACUGAAUGCAGUUCUCGUCGGAGGGUACCAUGUCAGCACUCCAAAAAGCUCAGGAAUCCCAGUCGUAAACCGUUGAACAAUCGACGUUUCAGCUUUGGCGGCGACAAGAGAUUGGAUUGAUUGCCUCGUCUGCUGUUAAUUGAAACAGGGCAGCUUAACACGUAAGGUAAAGCAGUCUGCUGCAGUGCAGAGGACGAACGCGACGUGCAACCCGUGCGCCUGCUGUACCUGCUCUGCAGAUACAUGCAUUAGACUAGAAAGAUACAUGCUCUGCAGAGUGAGUAUUAUGCCUCUUGUUCCAUUCUCAUCUCACUGGACAGAAAUCGCCAGUAACCAUUCCUUUUGAGGUUUCAGUUUGAUCCCAGCUCAUUCUGAAUGUGCAGCAGCAGACCAGCGGCAGCACAAGUAGGAGCAGGGGAGGGAAGGGGAGUGUAUGAGUACUUGUACUUGGGGUUGAAUAAGCCAAGUGCACGAAACCUCAGCUAUUGCAAUUAGAUAUAAUCAUCAGAUAGAAGUAAAAAAAAAAAGGCGGUCAGAAUCAACAUUAUAAAGUCAGGGGCUGAAACUGCAACGCACAUCGGUAUCGGUACAGAACAAGAAGGCUGCCCUCAACGAAACACAUCUUCGAGGCCAGGAGCAGGCAGCAGCUCAUCUGAUUUCCGAAUCUCACGAUGGUGGCUGGAUCUCGAUGUUGUCAAUCAACCUCACCUUCCCAAACCAUGCGGCGACACAAAUCACAGCAGGGCGAUCGAUCCUCUCAACAGGCGUCAAGCUCUCUUGCUCCACAAUCUGCGUUCACAACAGCGAUCCAUUUCAUGUUAGACUAACUUUCCCAACUUGCGGGUCACUUACCAUAUACAAAACGUCUCCUGAGAUGUCAUCACGCUAUUAUCAAAGCCGUCUAAUCGAAACCAAACAUUCAGUCUUCCCACAAGUCAGGUUUAAUAACAAAAGGUUUAAUUAUAUAAAAAAGGUUUUCUGAACUGUUUCAUGAUACAAAGCAUAAAUGCCUAAAGCUUUCAAAGGCUCUCGAGGAAAAUACCAGAAUAAGAUACCACAAAACAAUAACCACUUUCGCUAAAUAAAAACAAUAACCACAAUGACGACGACGACCAUGAUGGGAUUGCAGAGAACUCAACCGCCAGAUAAAAGGUCUAAAAACACAGAUAACUUGAACAGCUGAGCAAAAGCCAAGAACAUUACCUCAACAUAGUCAACCUGACCGCCAGCUUCUUCAAGUGUCUGCACUAUUUGAUCUUUUAUUUGUUGGCCAUGACUGUUUCCAUUCAGCGCAGCGGUUCUAGCAUUCACCAGUGAUCUACUGAUGGAUAAUGCCUACAUAGGAGAUCAUCACAAUCGAAGGAAGGUUUAUUUUGAGAAAGGUGCAAAGAUAUUUACAAAGAGUAUAUGCAAUGAUCAACAAUUGAAAAUAAUGCUUUCUUCUAGGAUUUUUACAUGUAGCUCCCCUCCAUAGCUAUAAAUAAAUUUGUUAUAUCUCGCCUAUCGAGUCAUAAGAACCACCUAAAGAUUAUUGUGCCAACAAACUGAUAACAGCUCAAACCGAAAGAGGAGCAACAUGGAAAACAGCGGUGAAAGUAACUCCUGCUGCAAGGUCGAAAUUUUAGUUAUAUUCAAAUUUUCACCUAGAGCCAGUUCAACAACUGCAGAGGAAAGUUGGUGCAUUUCGCACAAGGCUUGUGUCGAAAAGUUGUGAUGUGAGGCCAAACUAGAUAAAGCAUUGAACAAAUUGAACCACGAAUUUGUUGAACAAACUGGCCCAACAGGUUGAUCCAGGAGGGGAAGGAUACACUGGACAGCAAGACAAACCUAAUUCUAAAACACUGUAAUUUCUAUGGUUCUCUGUAUUUUGGCGAUAGCAAUACCACAAAUUGUCAAAAAAAAUCACUACAAAAACAAUCUACCAGCUUUUUUCAGAAAAAGACAAACCUUUUCCCUUUCCUCACACGAUAGGUGCACAUUGCGGGAGCUCAUGGCAAGACCAUCAGCUUCUCGCACUAUUUCUGAGCCAAUAAUCUCAAUGGCAAAAUCAAGAUCAUGAACCUGAAAACAACAAAGCUUUAUCUCAGCAACAGAAACUAACUAGAGUUACACUGAGAUAAACAGAUAAGAGAUGACACACAUUAUGUGGGGAUGCAACUGAAGAGAACCAUCAAAACAGAAAGCAAACAAGUUAACCACUGAAGCAUUAUUUGAUUCAAAAUGGACAUUUGGAUGGAGCAAAAUGUAGUCUCUAAAUAGUCACCAUGUGAUAAGCUAUUUAUAGACUAUCUAGAAGCAAGUUGGUCAAGUUGGUGAAUAGGGCAGUGAAGAGAAGAAAAAAGAACUACUAUUCUGCUAGGUAGUUACCAUCAUUCGAUGGCCAACUUUGCGCUUACUCAUCAAUGUUGUUUUAUUCUAUUCAUAUAACUACUUGAAUUGCCGAACCUGACAGACAGCAAUUAUAAAAGAAACAAAGUAGUAUGUUAAUGCCAAACAAGUUAUUGUUCUAAAAAAGUUACCAUCCGGCAGAGGAAGGAAGGUGGAAAUAAACAGGAGCAAAAAACAUUAUUUUAGAUUUGUUACCAUUACUGUAUCUGGAUGGCCUACUCCUUUUUUUUGGAACUAAAACAAACUGGAUGGCCUACUUUGUUCUCACAUAGCAAGACUGUAUUUUCAGCACUUGAACAGUUGGACCUGACAGACGCCAACCAAAACUGAACAAAGUGCAUGCAUGUGUCAGUGUCAAUGUCAAAGAAGUUACCAUCCGGCAGAUGACGCGCCACUGUUGAUAAUCCUUCUUCCCGAACACCGCGAUGUCCGGCUCGACGAUGUUGAAGAGCUUGGCGACGACGGUAGCCACGCCGCGGAAGAAGACGGGCCUGCUGCUCCCGCACAGCCCCUUCUCCAGCCGCUCCACGCGAAUCCACGUCUCGUGCCCGUACCCAUCGCCCUGCUCCAGGCAGGAGAUCGCGCCCCCGGACUCGCUGGCAUCGGGGCGGCCGCCGCGGACGUAGAGGUCCGGGGGGCAGAAAACCGCGGCAACGGCGCCAGUGGCGGCGAGCUUGCGGAGGUCCCCGGCGAAGUCGGAGGGGUAGGUGGCGAGGUCCUCGGUGGGGGCGAACUGGCUGGGAUUGACGUAGAUGGAGACGACGACGGCGACGGGGCCGGCGGCGGCCGCCACCGCUGCGGAGACGAGCGAGAGGUGGCCGUCGUGGAGGAAGCCCAUGGUGGGGACGAGAGCGACGACCUUGCCCUCCGCGCGACGGCGGCGUGACCACGCGCGCAUCGCCGCCUUGUCACGGAUCACCUCCGGCUCAUGCGCCGCCGCCGGCAUGGGAGCAAAAUGGAAUCGCACGGCAGACUGAUGAGGAGGAGGAAAAGAAAAAAGAAAGAAAUUUGUUGACAAUAAGUGAGAAUGGGAUGCGGCAGCAGAUAAGUUGUGGGGAGGAAACGGAAUCGAGGACGGCCAGAGAGUGGGAGGGGAAAGAAGGAAUUUUCUUUCUGCCUGUUGCAAUUCAAAAACAAUGCAGCAAGUAGCAGCCAGGGUAGACUCUUUCUGGACAUGAUAACGACAUCUACCCGCCAUCGAUCGUUGGAUAAUAUCAAUAAAAACAUUUUUUUUCUUUCCAGCUAGCACAAUGGAAUUGUAGAUGCAGGAUUACAAUCGUUUUUCAAGCUAUCUCGAAAGAAAGCAGGUGCUAACAUGCCACGCUGCUCUCCGCUCGUAAGAUGCUUGCUUAUACUUCCUCCGUUCCAAAUUGCAGGUCAUUUUAGCGUUGAUAUGUAUAGAUGGAAAAACCAAAAUGAUCUACAAUUUGGAACGGAGGGAGAAGCAUAUUAGCUGAGACAUUAUUAGAGGUGCGCAAGGGAAAAUUAAUUUCCUGCGGAGCUCCUUGGUAUCCAAAAGUAAUUUCCACCGGGUUCUUCCAUGUAUCCACAAUGAGUUGGCAGCGAGUUUCAACAAUAUAUACAGACCGUGGAUCACACCACUGGCAUGUUGUGGUCUCUAUGCCUGGUAAAUAGUUGGAUCAGACUGGAGAGUCGGUUCCCAGAAUCCCACGCAUGAUGAACCCUUCAUCUGAGGAACAACCGUGUCAUUCAGCAUCUCAUAUAUUUCAGCACAUUGUGGAUGCUCUUGAUCCCUAGAGUAGAACACAUGAUUCCUCAUGUUCGCCUCAAUCUGACUAAAACCAGGCGCCUUCUUCGACUUACUGCCCUUCAUGAUCUUCCACACAUUUGCUGUCUCAUCCCACAUUCCAUGUGACGCAAAUACAUUGGCCAGAAGCGUGUAGCGUCCUGAAUCAGAGGGUUCGAAUCUGACAAGAUCCUCACCCACUUCUCUUGCUACCUCUACCUCUUUAUGCGUCACACAGGCUCCUAGUAGCGUCCCAAGAAUGGCUUCAUCACGCAUGCCCUGUGGCAUACUGUCGACAAGUUCCUUGGCCUCCCUAACAUACCCUGCUCGACCUAGAAGGUCAACAAGGCAAGAGUAGUGCUCAAUGCUUGGCUCUAUUCCGUAGCCAUGGUAAAUUGAUUUGAAAAUCUUGCGGCCUUUCUCGACCAAGCCAACAUGGCUACAAGCUGACAGAAUGGAUGUAAAGGUAGUUGAACUGGGCUUAUACCCAUGCCUCAACAUCUGAGCAAAGCCCUGUAAGGCAUGGUAACCACAGCCAUGGUUCGCAAAAGCUUGCAUUAUCGACGUCCAUGUUAUGGUAUCCUUCACUUCCAAUCUCUUAAAAGUGAGCUGAGCAGAAAGCAGAUCUCCACUUCUUGAGUACAUUGUGAGCAAGGCAUUUCCUAAAUCAGUUUCUGACAGGAGUCCAAGUGUGACAACCAAGCCAUGGAUUUGCUUAACUUCCAUUGUGCUCUCAAGCAUAACUAGGAUACUAAUUAAUGUACAGAUGUUAGGAGAUACCGCUGAGCGUCGCAUAAGAAGAAAUAUGUUUACGGCUUCAUCCUUACGCUUGGUCUUGGAAUACGCCUCGAUAAUGGUAUUCCAGGUCACCAGGUCUUUUGCAAGCAUCGAAUCGAAUAAUCUCUGGGCCUCAUUCAGCUGGUCAUUGUUGGCAUAAGCAGUAAUCAUCGCAUUCCAUGCCGCAGUAUCCUUUUUUGGCAUCAUAUCAAAGAACUCUCUUGCCCUGCACGCAAAACCAUUCUUUGCCAAGCCAGUGACCAUUAUAGUCCAAGAAAUCACAUUCCUGUGCGGCAUUGUCUCAAACAAUUGAACUGCUUCAUCCACUUUUCCAGCGCUGAGAAAACCGGAAAUCAUGGCAUUCCAAGAAUAUGUGUUCCUCUUGGGCAUCCUAUCGAACAGUUCCCAUGCCUCUUGAAUCUGACCACUGUCAGCGUAGGCCUUAACCAUGACUGUCCAAGCGACCACAUUCCUCUCAGGCAUUCGAUCAAACACCUCCCUGGCUUCCUUGAGCAUCCCAUUGCUUGCGUACCCCUGCACCAUCGCCGUCCACGAAACAACAUUUGGAUCAGGCAUCACAUCAAACAACUGGCGCGCUUCGUGAACACGGCCGGUGCGGCAGUACCCAUAGACCAUGCAGGUCCACGCGACGACGUUCUUCAUCGGCAUUCCGUCGAAUAGCUCGCGCGCGCGGUCGACACGCCCAGCCUUGAUGUACCCGUCGAGCAUAACGGUAUCCAGGUAAAGCCCCCGAGCAGCCGCGGGCGCCGCGCGGAAGAGCGCCUCCGCGCCCAGCAGGUCACGUUGCUGGAGGUGGCGGCUGAUGUUGGCGGCGUAGGAGACGGCAUCCUCCCGGUUUGGCGUUUCGGCGCGAGUGGCCGCGCCGCCGCGCUGCUGCUUGGGUGCGGCGGGGUUUUCGCUGGCCGAACGGAUGCCUUCUCGGGUGGGUUGCCGCGGCGGGUCAUGGGCCUCCGCAACGGUGCCAUGGAGGCGGAUGAGCGAGCACUGGAAGGGCAGCUCGAACGGGGCGCGGCCAGCGGUGAUGCCGCGCCGCCGCGCGAGGGCGAGCGAGUCGCCGCUGCUAGUACGGAUGUCUCCAUGGGCGCUUCGUCGUGGAGGCGUGCGGAACUUAGCGACGGUGCCGUGCCGGUGGAGCGGCGAGCAUUGGGAGAGGAGAGGGAGGACGCGCCGGCGCCGGCAACGGGGAAGCAUUGGGAGUUGGCGGGGAAUUUUGCAACUAGGUCCUCGGUUAGUAACCUAGCUGGUUCAGAACGAGGGGGCCAGCAUGGGUCAGCGUAUAUUAUGCGAAAAGGUCCAUACUAAAGUUUUUUUCGUUCAAGUAUACCCCCAACUGGAUCGCCAUUAUUAAUCGCGAUCCAAUUUUGGAUGACUGCGAACCGCCGGAUCAAUUAUACGCGGCUCAGAACGGCUUCUGGUAUAAUAGCAGCGGCCAUUUGUCGAAAUAGGCCUUAGUGUUUAAGAAUACCUUCAAACACUCCUGGUGGAUUUGAACCGUCCGAUCGACACUCCAGGGCCCAGAUCGAGGGGUGUAAUUUUACGGAAACGACCCUUCAUUGACAUGGCCGGUCAAAUGGGAUGCGAACCGGCGGCGGCGGCCGCCGCGCACGGCGACGUGGUGCCGCCGCCGCUGCUUCCGGCUUGCCCCCGAAAGAUCACUGCACGGCAAGGAGGAGCGAUUCCGGCGAGGAAGGUCGCGGUCCUCGAAGCGUGGAGGACUACCAUGGUGGCGCCGGAGGUCGUCGUCGGCAGAAUUUCAAAUGCAGAACCCAGACAGGACACUGAAAUGAAAAUUUCUUCCUUAUUCAUUAAGAAAAACUCAUGAACGAUCCAUAGAGUAGCGAUCCAACGAACCCAUUCCCACCUUAAUUACGCAAGCAAAAUCCGGCAUGCAUACUCUCAAUACAUACACCGAACUGAAGAAAAGAAACUUCUUUCGGCGGAGAAAGCAAAGCAGGGCACAGCAGAGCAAGACUGCAGGAGCAAAGCAAGGCAUGAAGCAAGGUGAUGAGCAGCUUGGCGGCGGCGCCUAUACAAAGGCGUGCUUCUCGAGCAGCUUGAGGACGUCCUCCUGGUUGUUGAGCUUGGCCACGUCGAUGGGCGUCUUCCCGUCCAGGUUCUGCAGCGUCCUGCAAAAGGCACAAGAUCAUGCAUGAGCAAUCGAGCUUCAGAAUGAGGAAUUUCCGUUUCAGCUCGGUCAUCAGUUUGGUAUCGAUCAUCAUCAAUCAGGUGGACGGUCCCUUACACGGCGGCGCCGCUCUCGAGCAGGAGGGCGACGCAGUCCUUGCGGCCGUAGCCGGCGGCGUAGUGCAGCGCGGUGUUAUUGUUCUUGUCCACCGCGUCCACCGCCGCGCCGGCGUCCAGGAGCACCUGCGCGCACUUGAGCUCGCCGUACCCGCACGCGAAGUGCAGGCCUCUACGGCCUUCCGAGUCCUCCUCGUCUUUGUCCACGCCAUCCUCCAGCGCCUUCUUCAGGCCCUGUCACCGUGACGACCAUGCAUACAGGUAUGUUCAGCAAUGAUCAUAGAGCCAGCCAACUGAUGAUGAUCCAGAGCGCGCUGCACUGCAGUGACAGUAAGGUGGCAGACUGACCUCGACGUCGCCGACGCUCGCAGUGUGGUGGAUGAUGGACGACUCCUCGUACUCGCCUUCCUCCUCGCCGGCCUCUUCCUCGGCCUCGUCGUGCUCCGCGCCGGCGGCCUCGCUCGAUGGGCCGACACCCAUCGCCCGCCCGAACUUCUGCAGAGCCUCGGGGUCGUUCCAGUACCUGCACAAACCAUGCAAGACACUCCAGCAGGCUCAGAGAUCAUUCAAUUCGUCGGUUUGCGCAAUCCUUCCUUGAUGAAUGAACUUGACGACUCACUUCAUCAUGGCAGCGGGGCCGCCGGUCUCGAUCUCGUCGAGGAUGGGCUUGAGCGUGGGGUCCUCCUUCAUGCGCGCGAUGCGAGCCUCGAGCUGCUCCUUGUGCGCCGGGUUGGUGAGCCCGCCCAGCAUCGUCGCCAUGGCCGGGUCCUGCAUCAGCGCGCUGCCCAGCCGCUCCGCCAUCGCCACGAACUGCGGGUUCUGCAUCAGCUGCUGCAUCGUCGCCACGUACUUCUGCGGGUCCAGCGCCGCCGCCGCCUGGGGCACCGCCUGCUUCGCCGCCGGCGCCUGCCGCGGGGACACCACCGUCUUCUGCAGCUGCUCCGCCAUCUGCGUGAACGCCGGGUCCUUGGCGAUCUGCUCCGCCAUCUCCUUGAUGCUCGGGUCCUGCUCGGUCCAUCCAUUCGUUCAUUUAAUUCCAACAAGAAAUAUCAAAUACUACAUCCAAACCGUAUCGAUUUCCAAAUAAGUGAAAUGAAAUGGCAUGAAAAUUUUGGGUUACCAAAAUCGAACCACGAAAAGCUAGCACUUUUUCACGCAAGGGAUCCGAGACUAAAAACGGCACGGUCUUCACAUGGUACAUGUACUACUGCCGACGGAGAUUAAGGCUGUUCAGCUCAAUUGAGUUUGUGAAUGAAUGAAUGCACCGGAUGAACAGCGUCAUGAACCCGGUCCAUCAUCUUUGCUAAUCUCUACUGAGCUUCACAUAUAAGAACUACUUCUAUGUUGCAAAAAAGGAAGGUGAUGCCUCAGCUGCGUACAUUAAGGAGGUUCAUCAUGGUGGAGAAGUCGAAGGGGUUGGCCGGCGCCGACGGCCCGGCCCUGCGCGUCGCCCCUGCUGCUGGCUGCUGCUCCUCCGCCGGCGAAGGCUCCUCUGUCUUGACCGUAGCAGUCUUCUCCUCUGCACAAACAACUCCAGUUAAAUUAUCUCUUCUCCAGCUCUUCAACUCCUUGGCGCAAAUCGCUCACGCAACAAAAGAAAAGAAAAGAAAAGGGAGAGAGAUUCCUGACUGACCUUGAGCAGCCAUGUCGACGGCGGCCGGGAAGGAAGCAGGCGCUGGCGCUGUUGCCCCUUGUUAGCGAUGAACCAGCCGAGGAUGACGAUAAGGUGCUGCUGUGGAGAGGAGGAAACGCGAGGGCGACCAACCAGAGGUGUCCACCGUGUGGUUUCGUUUUUAUAGGGGAAGGGUGCAUAAGCGCUUGAGACCUUGAGUGACUGCGGUUUCUACACAUGGAUGGAUGGAGAUGGAGCAAGUAGCAUCUCCUUCGACACAGCAAGGGCAAGGUAGAUCUUCCUAGCAAUUGCUCAGUUUUUUUCAAGGUAAAAAAAAACGCCGAUCUUUCUGAAUUCUUAAUCUACGUCUAGUUUUUUUUUUUAAGUUGUCAAGAAAAGGCACGUUGCUUUUUUAAGGUCACAUGGCAACCACGUAUAGAAUUUCAAAGCUGAAGUAUGAAAUACUUUCAAUUCCCGUGAUUAUCAUUUGCUUUCAAUUUUCUACGGAUAUCACGGUGAAAUGAGACCUUUUCUUUUCUCUAUAAUAAAGUCGUGCGUUGUGUAUUAGGGGGAAAAUAAAUGAAAACUUAUCUGUGAAAGGAAAAGAUAACCAAAUCAGCAUGAAUGAUAUUUUACCACUGAAUUUUUUUCGAAAGAUUACCACUGAUUUUCCCUAAAUAAAAAAGAAGUGAAUUUACCGUGUGAGUUGGGUCUUGGGUGAGCCUUUAGCAUCUACAGGGGACAGUGCGUGGGCCAGGAGAUUGAGGUGCCAAGCUUCUUGCGUGGCAUUGGGAAUCCAGGACAGGGAUUGGGAUAGCAAAUGUGUGGAUGGAAUUGCUUCUCCAGGAAACACCCUACUAUUGCGACAAAAUCCAUGAUGUUGUAUCUCUUCUACUAAUAUUUGCCACCUGUCACCAUUAUUGGACAGUACUCAUUCUAAUUCUACCACUCAUAAUGUUAUGAUUUUCACUGACUAUGUUUUCUUUCCCCUUUCUGAGAGUAUACAAGUGCGCAUUAUUACUAGCCUUCACUACAUUGAUAGAAUUAGUGCGGCAAAAGAUAGGUGACAUGCCAAAUCUGGGAACACCCCCCUCCCUCUGGCAUGAUCCAAAUAUGAAAGAACCCCCAGCGAUAAAAAGAGCGGGGUCAGAACGCCAGGUGCCAGAAUACUGUUACUAUAGUAAUACAGAAUACAAAAUAUAGCCGGAGGCACCUUCGUAUGCAUUAGUGUUUUUUUUACCACCCAACAAGGUAAAACCACGGCAAAAAUGCAGUGACAGAUGAGGGCAAAACAUGCAGCUGAAGCGUCUUCAGAUGCUUGCCACUCUGGCAGUGGCACAUUGGAGAACCCAACAGCCUAGCAGUCCCAGUCGCAGCAGCUCAAAAGGCGGAAAUGCUUCAACCAGCAGGAUCAAAACUUCCAACUGUGGGGCUCUUCAGCUGCAUGUGUCUGCCACACCGGAACCCAAGGGCCUAGCAGGGCCAGCAAAACUAGCUCAAAGUGGGCUGAUUUUGCUGUUUCUUCAACAGAUCCUCUACUUCUCUUUGACCAAGAUCAGUACAAACUCCUCCUUUAGGGAAACAAAUUUCCCAGGUCUUUCUGGAACAUUACUAUAUCACUGCAAAAGCCAUUUCUAGGCAGCAAAAUCAGCCCAGAACGUGAUGGCACUUUCAUGAAUAUUUGUGGAUUCCAAUAUUAAGGUCCGAUGAUAUGGAGGUCAGGUAUGGUGAUGUUUGGUGCCAAACAGCCUUGAACACUCGCUUCUGGUGUGCCUGAACAGACUGGCACGGCUUCUGGCCAUGAUACCUGAUGUCGAAAAUGUGGAUCACAGGGUCUGCAGAGCCAGAUGACACGUACCACCCAUCAGGAGACCAUGACUGGUUAAUCAGAGCUGACUGAGACUCGCUGCUCUCUUGCUUCCAACCGAAUGCAUGAACCUCAGUCUGCCUAAGCCUGAUGUCAAACAAGCGGAGCUGACUGCCUGGCGCCCUGUUAGCAAGAGAAAACAUACAGAUUGUUUUAAGCAUGCACCCCCAUGCAUUAAACGAGCACAACUGACAACCAUUGCACAAUGCACAUAGGACCCCACAUAAUAACUAUGUAUGUAAACUAAAAUGGAUUUUUCUUCAUAAAACUAGAGCUUCAGCAGUACAUUGACCUCCUAUGUUAUAAUGCAAGAAUAGGUUGAGAUGACUAAGAGGUUAAAGAUUACAACUAUGAAAUGGAUGCGUUAAUCCAGAAACAGCAUUCUUGGUCUGUUUGGAACUAUCGCAAUCACUGUGUGUUCAAUGGGGAUCCACCUAACCUGAAUGGAGUUCUAACUGUGCUAAGAGAAGAACUGCACUUGUGGAGUUUGGCUGGGGCUCAAGGAAUUUCUCAUCUCCUCGCCCUAGUACCCUUGCAAGUUUAGCUGGUGUUUCUGGUCUAGGUCUGGUCAUGGCUAUUUAGUUAAAAGGUGAUUGUUUCUGUGUGAGUUUUUUUUUUGGGAGUUCUGUACAGGGCCCCUAAACCUAUAUGUUACUUGGGGUUUCUAAACCCCUUUUUCUUCUUAACAUAUUGAUCCGCAGCUCCUCUCUUGCGUGUUCGAGAAAAAAAAUACUUACCCUGUCUGCACCAUGUAUAAGUUGAAAUCGCAUGGAUUUGUUAAUACACUCAUGCAUUUGCUAUCAAUUAGGUUCUUGAACUCUGUCCUUCCAGCAGAGAGAUCAAAUCCUAUUAUCCUCUUGUCGCAGCCAACUGAUAUUAUAGUUUUUUUCUGUUGCAAUCCAGCAACACCCAUGACAGCGGAAGAAUGGAAAUCCUUGUGCACUCUCUUGUGUUUCCAUGAAUCAUCUUUGUCUUCCCAAAGUAUAACAGCGUGAUCACUUCCCCCGGUCACAAAGCAUGCAUCAGACCAGGGCAUGAAACUGAUGUUGUUUAUGAUUCCCUUCGUGUGAGGCUUCUCUGGUAGGAAAGUAACCUUCCUCUGUUUCAGUACAGGGAAAAAAUUGUGGAACGCCCUUUAGUAAUAUUUCAAGAAAGUAAAUCAUCUGUUACUCACAAAAAUAAGGCAUAGAAAAGUAAACCUAGGGUUAACAGAACCAAUUCUUUCAAGGUUACAUCACCGUAACAACAAAUCACAUUAAGGCAUUGAUGCCUACAAGUGAAAACAGGAGAAUAGCAUGAAAAUAGUCAUUUAAGAACAGCUAAGUUACGAUUCGUUAAUUAAAGGUACACCACAUCAGCAUCCAAUCAUUUUUCCCAUCACACUUGAUAGAACAAAAAGAAAGAAAAAAUUCAGUCUCCUAACUAUAAUUUGCAGGGAUUAAGUAAAUGCACGAACAGGAAUAAUUAAAAGAACCAUCUCUCAAAUUCCUCCCUUUAACAAUAUUAUUUAAAAAUACUAAUGAUUUGAAAUCAGAUAUGCAGAAUUUGUUAUUAGUCUCAUUUUAACAACUGCUCCUAGAAUAGAGAAAGCUGUGUAGCAGGAUGUAAGGGCAUGCACCAGUUUUAACAGAGGCCUUACCUGUCCUGAUAUAAGGUUUGUCAUUGAAACCUGAGAAUCACCAUUAUCAGCAGUGUAUACAGCAAAAAUUGUGUCACCAUCUGGAUGCCAAGCUAUAUCUUCAGGCCAUCUAUGCUUUGGGGAAAAGCAAUCUGUUUUGCCACGAAAUGAGAUAGAAGGUCUGCGAGUACAAUAACGUAAAUUGUCAUGGUGCGAAAUUGAAAUGAUACGGUGAUACCCACCCAACAAAAUUUACCUUUUCAAUAAAGCAAACAGUCUUUGCAUCAGGGUGGUUCCCCAACCAUUUCAAGUUAAAGUGUACAAUGUACUCAAACAAUAGGUGGAUCUAUCACAGAGAACUAUAUUCUCCUUAGUCCUUAUAGUUACCUGCACUACUGGUAUAUAAAUUUAGCAUUGACAUUUUUACAUCACAUGUGAUGGGAUUGUAGCAUUUUUUCCUUCAAAAAGUACUGAUAUGGAACAUGGAUAUACCAUAUACAUAAAGAAAAAAUCAUACACUUCCAGCAUGUUGUAUCUUUACUCAAAUUUUAUCCAUUUUAGCCUGCCUCCUCAUGAGUACAUGGCUCCUUUAAACAGCCACGCAACUGGAUAUGCCAAUACAAAUCACUAAGAAACCAACUAACCUAGCAGAUAAGAUCACACUAUUGCUGCCUUGCUUGGAUGGAGCAGCCAUGCCGCUUGGCUGACAUGUUAAUCCUAGCCUGUCCGGUGACAGUUAAAUAUUUUACGAGAUUCAGAAGGCUAAGGUCAUUUCAUGUUAAAAUAGUAUAUCAGCCGUCACGCCCAUACCAAGUUCACUUUAAUUAAAACAAUAAGCUAAAAUUUUGCUGCCGCAUGUUGAAGGAGAGUUGUUGGGUGUUUGACCAUAGUGGUGUUACCCAUGGCACAUGUACUGUGUUGGCACAUCCUUUUUGGCCACUAACUGUGUUGAACUUUCAGUUUUGUCCCAGAGCAUUACAACAUUUUGGUUAUCUGAACCUGGGCUGCUGAAUUUAAUAUGUAAGUGUUGAGGAGAUGCAAGAAGUGAAACAAGAGACAAACAGUAUCAGGGAGCAAAUUAAAUUGCCUUUUCUGCUAAUGAAUGUUGCAAGGUAGACAUGCGCUAAGGUGGGCACUUAAGUCUUAACUGCAAAAAUCCACACUUGAGCUUCAUAAACGAAAUACUUAAAUCCACGUAAUUAAUUAUUGAUAUCAACCUCGUGUAUGCAUUUAUUAUCUACUUAGUGUCUUCGAGAACCCUAAGGCUCCUGUUGGCACAAUUCUACUAACCUAAUGCAAAACCCUCAUUAAGUACUGCUGAGUCAGUCAUUAAGACUUAUAUAAAGUACGGAUUUAAUUUUUGGCAAAGCCAUAAGUUUCAAUUCAUCAUCAAGUAACUAUAACCACUUAUGCUGAGCUCAUUGGAAGUGUCAUUGGGCACACACUUUACCCAGUUCAUAUUUCACUACCAUUUUAAAAAACUAGUGAAAUAUCUCUGAAAUAUGUUUGAAAGCUAAGUUAAAAAAAAGUUAGCAGGGAUGAAAAGAAAACAGCAUGCUGACAAUUCAGAGUGACAUUAUGCCUACCCUCUUGGCUCCACCUGCCACAAAGUAACCAAUCCAUCCAACGCACUGCAUCACAAGAAACCAUAAGAUUAAAAGUUUGGAAAACUUAAGCAAACUUCUCAUAUCAUUGGUAAUUAAAAUUAAUUAUUUCAUUUUGCUAAGAUGUCUAUCGGAACGGUGGUUGAGAACUUAGUCUGCCCUCCCAGUUUACAAUUCUAAACCAGCAAACCUAUAGUGCUGCCCACAAAAAAAAAAUGUUUCACAAAGAAGUACAGGCGUCCAACUUGGAACUUUGGAAGAAGAUUGCUUUGUGAGCCUGUGCUUGUAGACUGACAUUACAUAACUUUUUUUUUCGUGAAUUGUUGCAGGCAACCAGGUCGAAGCAAUUAAAAAUUAUGGAGGUGGAGAAAUGAUGCCAAAGAUGCCAAAGGUGACACUAAUAGUUUUUUUGAGCUUCUCAUUGCAUGAUCAUCCGUGAACUAUAGCCUACACCAAAUUCGCU